UUUGGCUGAAUAAAAAUUGUAGAAGCUUCUCCAGAUUUCAAAUUUUAAAGAACGUUUCCUGAAGGAGUUUCCAGGCUGUUGUUAACCCACGCCCCUCUGAGAAGUACUUCUACGAACCAGACUGCAGCAGCAAUGCUGUCCUUUUGGCCAGGGCCUUGUGGAAUCCGGUCCAUAUGCUGCUUUCCAGUUACUGAGGUCCCCUGCCCACCUCCAAUCCACGUCCCCCAGUGCUAAUGAGUGAUUUCUCAAGAACAUUAAUGUGAUCCAUUGACUGGUU